rnacentral:rRNA from 1 species
GAUGAACGCUGGCGGCGUGCUUAACACAUGCAAGUCGAACGGUGAAGCAGGAGCUUGCUCCUGUGGAUCAGUGGCGAACGGGUGAGUAACACGUGAGCAAUCUGCCCUGGACUCUGGGAUAAGCGUUGGAAACGACGUCUAAUACCGGAUACGAGGCGUGGGGGCAUCCCCAACGCCUGGAAAGAACUUCGGUCCAGGAUGAGCUCGCGGCCUAUCAGCUAGUUGGUGAGGUAACGGCUCACCAAGGCGACGACGGGUAGCCGGCCUGAGAGGGUGACCGGCCACACUGGGACUGAGACACGGCCCAGACUCCUACGGGAGGCAGCAGUGGGGAAUAUUGCACAAUGGGCGCAAGCCUGAUGCAGCAACGCCGCGUGAGGGACGACGGCCUUCGGGUUGUAAACCUCUUUUAGCAGGGAAGAAGCGAAAGUGACGGUACCUGCAGAAAAAGCACCGGCUAACUACGUGCCAGCAGCCGCCGUAACAC